UACGGGUGGAGCAAGCGUUGUUCGGAUUUACUGGGCGUAAAGGGCGCGUAGGCGGUCGUGACAAGUCACUUGUGAAAUCUCCGGGCUUAACUCGGAACGGUCAAGUGAUACUGUCGGACUAGAGUACAGAAGGGGCAACUGGAAUUCUCGGUGUAGCGGUGAAAUGCGUAGAUAUCAGGAGGAACACCGAUGGCGAAGGCGGGUUGCUGGGCUGAUACUGACGCUGAGGCGCGAAAGCCAGGGGAGCGAACGGG
rnacentral:rRNA from 1 species